CAGCCGCCACGGUAAUACGAGGGGGGCAAGCGUUGUUCGGAAUUAUUGGGCGUAAAGGGCGCGUAGGCGGUUUGGCAAGUUUGGUGUGAAAUCUUCGGGCUCAACUCGAAGUCUGCACCGAAAACUGCCGGGCUUGAGUAUGGGAGAGGUGAGUGGAAUUUCCGGUGUAGCGGUGAAAUGCGUAGAUAUCGGAAGGAACACCUGUGGCGAAAGCGGCUCACUGGACCAUUACUGACGCUGAGGCGCGAAAGCUAGGGGAGCAAACAGGAUUAGAUACCCGCGUAGUCCCUGUCUCUUAUAC
rnacentral:rRNA from 1 species